rnacentral:lncRNA from 1 species
GAGCCGCCGCGGGCUCCGAGGAGUCGGCCGAGCUGCUCCCGCGCCCUGGCCGGACGUUUGAAACUAUUGCUUUGCUGAAAACAUCUGACUGCCAGGCUAGGAUGUGACACUUAAGGGACUUACCAAUUUGGGAUUCUUCCAGGAGCUGAAAACUGAUUGCAAAUAUGAAACAGAUUUCACUACAGGACUUGAACCCUACAUUAAAAAACAACAAGCUCCCCAAAAUAAUUGAAAAAGAUCUUCACCAAAGAGUAGCUGCAAUGUGAAUGGCAGGAUAUGAAGCAAGUAAGAGCAAUGUGGGGAAUCCUGGAAGAGCCCUUCUGUGAAACAACUUGACUGACUAGCAAGGAGCCUGUUUUGUUUUCCAGCUUGAAAGUCACUUUUUGAUUUGUUCUACACACUUCGUCACGUGUUCACUGCACAGGAGAGGUCGACUGGCACUCUGCACUGAGCAGAAUCAUAUGUUACCCUCGCCCUGCCAUUUCCAUCAUUCCACUGUGCUCUCCCUGAACCAGCUACAUUCUAGAGGACCCUCUUUGUGUAACUGCAAGACCUGCAGGACUGUGCUCUCUUCCCAGAGUGACAAUGAUGGAGCCUGAAAUCAUAUCUUAUACUUAUUGGCAAUGUCAGCUAUGUGAUCCACGACAGACUAUAAACUCCACCCUACCCAGAGAUGGUGAAAAGAUUAUCUUAAGCUUGGAAUUAAGUGAUGAAAGGGACCUUCGAAAUUAUCAACUCUAAAUACUUCUUUACAGGAAAAUUGAAAGCAGUUAAGAACCUGCCCCCUACCGUGGAGUUCUUGGUGCCGUGAGUUGGAGUUCUUGGUGCCUGGGUGCGUCCCCAAGGCCACUGGUCUUCAGAUCUUUCUUACUUGAGAAGAACGCCUCCGCCUCCUGGCUCUCCCACCAGUGGUAUUGCCACCACCACACACCAGCAUAAAGCACAGAUUGCUGCCCAGCUCCUUGGAGAGGGGCCAGUGCAUUUGUCAGGAAUUGAAAAGUUUUGGAGCCAGUUCGAGGACUUUCUCCUGCACAAAGUGUUGGCUGGAAGCAUGAAGCAAUAACACAUGGUUUGCCAAAGAAUCUGCAUUGAAUAAUACUGGUGGUGACCACAAGAACAUGCCUCUCUGACUGCAAGGAACAAGAGUGACCCAGGGUUUCAGCUGCUGCCUUGGAAAUUCAUCACAGUGCAAGUCUAUGCUUCCCACGGGCUGCUCCCAGCCUGUGAAUAAGCCUGGCAUCUUUGUUGAGGCAGGCCUAUUUCUGGAGAUGCAGGAUCCUCCGAUGGGCGAAUUUGGCUCUAGGACUGCUUGAUGGCCUUGACAGACUUUCCUUAGAAAUGCAUGGCAAUUUAGGGUUCCUCCACCCUUCCCUCUUUCUCUCCUUCACCUAGGGUCGGACUUGCAUCAUGGCCUGAAAGCUCCACCAGCCUCUCCUGCCCUCCUCCUCAUUUUCUUUCACAGGCAUAUCCUCUAAUAAAUUUCUUGCACAUUGAAUCUCA